rnacentral:rRNA from 1 species
CAUUUAAAGAGUGCGUAAUAGCUCACUAGUCGAGUGACACUGCGCCGAAAAUGUACCGGGGCUAAACAUAUUACCGAAGCUGUGGAUUGUCCUUUGGACAAUGGUAGGAGAGCGUUCUAAGGGCGUCGAAGCAUGAUCGCAAGGACAUGUGGAGCGCUUAGAAGUGAGAAUGCCGGUGUGAGUAGCGAAAGACGGGUGAGAAUCCCGUCCACCGAUUGACUAAGGUUUCCAGAGGAAGGCUCGUCCGCUCUGGGUUAGUCGGGUCCUAAGCUGAGGCCGACAGGCGUAGGCGAUGGAUAACAGGUUGAUAUUCCUGUACCACCUAGUAUCGUUUUAAUCGAUGGGGGGACGCAGUAGGAUAGGCGAAGCGUGCUGUUGGAGUGCACGUCCAAGCAGUAAGGCUGAGUGUUAGGCAAAUCCGGCACUCAUAAGGCUGAGCUGUGAUGGGGAGAGGAAAUUGUUUCCUCGAGUCGUUGAUUUCACACUGCCGAGAAAAGCCUCUAGAUAGAUAACAGGUGCCCGUACCGCAAACCGACACAGGUAGUCAAGAUGAGAAUUCUAAGGUGAGCGAGCGAACUCUCGUUAAGGAACUCGGCAAAAUGACCCCGUAACUUCGGGAGAAGGGGUGCUCUUUAGGGUUCACGCCCAGAAGAGCCGCAGUGAAUAGGCCCAAGCGACUGUUUAUCAAAAACACAGGUCUCUGCUAAACCGUAAGGUGAUGUAUAGGGGCUGACGCCUGCCCGGUGCUGGAAGGUUAAGAGGAGUGGUUAGCUUCUGCGAAGCUACGAAUCGAAGCCCCAGUAAACGGCGGCCGUAACUAUAACGGUCCUAAGGUAGCGAAAUUCCUUGUCGGGUAAGUUCCGACCCGCACGAAAGGCGUAACGAUUUGGGCACUGUCUCAACGAGAGACUCGGUGAAAUCAUAGUACCUGUGAAGAUGCAGGUUACCCGCGACAGGACGGAAAGACCCCGUGGAGCUUUACUGUAGCCUGAUAUUGAAAUUCGGCACAGCUUGUACAGGAUAGGUAGGAGCCUUUGAAACGUGAGCGCUAGCUUACGUGGAGGCGUUGGUGGGAUACUACCCUAGCUGUGUUGGCUUUCUAACCCGCACCACUUAUCGUGGUGGGAGACAGUGUCAGGCGGGCAGUUUGACUGGGGCGGUCGCCUCCUAAAAGGUAACGGAGGCGCUCAAAGGUUCCCUCAGAAUGGUUGGAAAUCAUUCAUAGAGUGUAAAGGCAUAAGGGAGCUUGACUGCGAGACCUACAAGUCGAGCAGGGUCGAAAGACGGACUUAGUGAUCCGGUGGUUCCGCAUGGAAGGGCCAUCGCUCAACGGAUAAAAGCUACCCCGGGGAUAACAGGCUUAUCUCCCCCAAGAGUUCACAUCGACGGGGAGGUUUGGCACCUCGAUGUCGGCUCAUCGCAUCCUGGGGCUGUAGUCGGUCCCAAGGGUUGGGCUGUUCGCCCAUUAAAGCGGUACGCGAGCUGGGUUCAGAACGUCGUGAGACAGUUCGGUCCCUAUCCGUCGUGGGCGUAGGAAAUUUGAGAGGAGCUGUCCUUAGUACGAGAGGACCGGGAUGGACAUACCUCUGGUGUACCAGUUGUCGUGCCAACGGCAUAGCUGGGUAGCUAUGUAUGGACGGGAUAAGUGCUGAAAGCAUCUAAGCAUGAAGCCCCCCUCAAGAUGAGAUUUCCCAACUUCGGUUAUAAGAUCCCUCGAAGAUGACGAGGUUAAUAGGUUCGAGGUGGAAGCGUGGUGACACGUGGAGCUGACGAAUACUAAUCGAUCGAAGACUUAAUCAAUUUUUAAA